rfam:Schistosoma curassoni strain Dakar, Senegal genome assembly, scaffold: SCTD_scaffold0000080
AUCAAGCUGACGAGUCCCAAAUAGAAUGAAACGCGUGUUAAACUGGAU